rnacentral:lncRNA from 1 species
CUGGAAGUUCUCUGAACAAGGGACAUGCUCUAAAUCUGUUUUGAGCAACUUGGGUUGAAUUAUGCAAUACUGGGGAAAAUCAUCAACGGAAAGGAUGGAACCUGAGCAUGAACUUUGUGCCUUCCGUGCAAGGCUGACAAAGGGCACUAAACUGCUGUGCUUGUGAAAGAGAGGAGAGCAAGCAAUAUAUUUAAUAAACGUACCCAAUUCAACUUGGAAAACUUCUGAUAUUUUGAAAGACUUACUAGAGCUGGUUAGCAGUAGGUGACUAUAAAAUCCAAGCCAGACAUCUCCAGCCAUUCCUAGGGUCAAAGACUGGACUUUAACCAUCUGUGUUUAUUCUUUCCACCUCAAAUCCCACUAACUAAGUGUUACAUGAAGAUUGGCAGUCUGGAGAUUCUAAGUGUUUUUAUUCCCCAGGAUGUAAUACAGAGAGAGGAGGAUCACUUGGGUUUGCCAAAAUACACUCCUCAUUUCACCUCCAGCAGCAGUAGCUAUGGAAGGAGUCGUGUGAUCAUCCUGUUCGCAGUAGACUCUCUUUUUCUCGCUGGACCUUGCUGUUCCAAUUUUGAUUGCCAACUUGAUAUGCCUAAUUGAGCCUUGCAACAGAUCAAAACCAGAGCCUGAGACUGUAGCUCAGGGCAGCAGAGCAGAGCUUUAACAAAAACAUGAGUAUUGGAAGAAAAACAGUAUGCAGGAGGUAAUCCAGAGAAGCUAUGGAUGUCUCAUUUCUGGAAGUGUUCAAGGUAAGGAUGUAUGGGUUCCUGGCAGCCUGGUCUAGCGAGAGGCAACCCUGCCCAUGGAGAGGGUCUGGAACAAAAGGAUCUUUGAUUUCACUUUCAAUCCCAGCCAUUCUGUGAUUCUAUGACUCCACAUGUCCAUGCCUUCUUCCAACCACUACAGGCCCCUGCUCUGUGCCAACUCUUUUCUCUGAAGUAGCUCUCUUUAAAUCUGUGCAAUGACUUUUUAUCUAAAUACAAUACUAGGUACUAGGUGUCCUGAGUAAUUCCUAAACUAGUAAGCAGGGGACUGUUUUUCAUUUUAUUACACCUCUACAUCUCUUUGAAAACUUCUAGCUUAUUUUCAUAGUUUAAUCUGUGGCUAUGUGUUACUGAAGGAAACUGUGAUAGCUUCUGUUUGGAGGCUGUUUUAGAAGUAAUGGAGCACAUGACUAACACGUGCCUAAGUAGUUGUCAGUGUCAGUAGUGAAUGUUUGUAGUGGGUAGGCUACAGUUGUAAAUGUCCAAUGAAUGCUUGUUAAUCCUAAGCAGUUAGGAGGUUUCCCUGAUUUUUUGUGGUGUUCAUCCAUGUAGUUUACAAAGGUGUUUCUUUGAGUAUAUUUCAAUAUGCUCUGUAGACGCUGCUGUAACAGAAACAUUCAGUGGCAAAGGAUACAAACAUUUGUGUAGUUUACUGGGAAUGCUUCUGCUGUCUGGUUGCUAUGGUUAUUUUCUAUUGUGUUUAUUUGUUAUUUUUAACUUUGGGAUUGUAUCUCAUAAUUCUUUUCCUUAUUUCAUUUUUAUAACUUUUUAAUGACACAGAAAGAAAUCAUUAGUAGUACUUGUAAUUCAUUGGUGAAGCUUUUUCAAAUUCACUA